rnacentral:rRNA from 1 species
GACGAACGCUGGCGGCGUGCUUAACACAUGCAAGUCGAACGGAAAGGCCCUGCUUUUGUGGGGUGCUCGAGUGGCGAACGGGUGAGUAACACGUGAGUAACCUGCCCUUGACUUUGGGAUAACUUCAGGAAACUGGGGCUAAUACCGGAUAGGAGCUCCUGCUGCAUGGUGGGGGUUGGAAAGUUUCGGCGGUUGGGGAUGGACUCGCGGCUUAUCAGCUUGUUGGUGGGGUAGUGGCUUACCAAGGCUUUGACGGGUAGCCGUCCUGAGAGGGUGACCGGCCACAUUGGGACUGAGAUACUGCCCAUACUCCUACGGGAGGCAGCAGUGAGGAAUAUUGCACAAUGGCCGGAAGCCUUAUGCAGCAACGCCGCGUUCGGGAUGACGGCCUUCGGGUUGGAAACCGCUUUCGCCUGUGACGAAGCGUGAGUGACGGUAAUGGGUAAAGAAGCACCGGCUAACUACGUG